UACAGAGGUCUCAAGCGUUGUUCGGAUUCAUUGGGCGUAAAGGGUGCGUAGGUGGCGCCAUAAGUCAGGUGUGAAAUCUCGGGGCUCAACCCCGAAACUGCACUUGAUACUGUGGUGCUGGAGUACUGGAGAGGAGAUUGGAAUUUACGGUGUAGCAGUGAAAUGCGUAGAUAUCGUAAGGAAGACCAGUGGCGAAGGCGAAUCUCUGGACAGUUACUGACACUGAGGCACGAAGGCCAGGGGGGCAAACGGG
rnacentral:rRNA from 1 species